GUUGAAAUGGUUUUCAAAAUGUAUAUAAAAUACCAAAAUCUGUUAAAAACUCUUGUUUUUUGUGUAGUGUAGGCGUUUAAAAAGUGUUUUGUAUGACUGUGUAUGUAGAACUAGACUAUAAUGUUGAACAUUCACUUCACCAUCAUAAAAAUCAAAAGCAGCAUAAGAAAAAGCAAGCACAGCACACAAGCAGAAGAAGCCAGGUCGAUAAC